AUAUUGGCAAACAAGCAACAACACCAAGCUAUUAUCUAUAAUCUGAAUGAUAAUAGUGUAGAGAUACUUAUCACCAAAGCAUUAUGGGCCUUUAGCAAGGAUCAUGUUGAUAGUUUGGUUUCAAUUCGUUGAAAUUAAGCAGGUUGAGCAAGUUAGAGGUAAGGAAAAAAACAGAUGACUGAUGUAAUGGCCGAAUUUAGUACAUGAUGACUGAUUCAGUUCCUUUCUUUUUGUCGUAGUUUGAUGUUAUUGGAACUAAGCAUGGUGGUUUUAGUUGUGUAUUAAACAUCUUAGACCUAUGUAUUGAAUGUUGUUUGUAUUGAGACCUCUUUUUGUUUGUUCAAACGAGAAUUAUCUGGAAUUUUAUUGUAUCCAGUACUAAUGAUUAAUGUCCAUUUAAAUUAUUCUAGACAA